rnacentral:rRNA from 1 species
UAGGGAAUCUUCGGCAAUGGACGGAAGUCUGACCGAGCAACGCCGCGUGAGUGAAGAAGGUUUUCGGAUCGUAAAGCUCUGUUGUAAGAGAAGAACGAGUGUGAGAGUGGAAAGUUCACACUGUGACGGUAUCUUACCAGAAAGGGACGGCUAACCACGUGCCAGCAGCCGCGGUAAUACGUAGGUCCCGAGCGUUGUCCGGAUUUAUUGGGCGUAAAGCGAGCGCAGGCGGUUAGAUAAGUCUGAAGUUAAAGGCUGUGGCUUAACCAUAGUACGCUUUGGAAACUGUUUAACUUGAGUGCAAGAGGGGAGAGUGGAAUUCCAUGUGUAGCGGUGAAAUGCGUAGAUAUAUGGAGGAACACCGGUGGCGAAAGCGGCUCUCUGGCUUGUAACUGACGCUGAGGCUCGAAAGCGUGGGGAGCAAACAGGAUUAGAUACCCUGGUAGUCCACGCCGUANCGAUGAGUGCUAGGUGUUAGACCCUUUCCGGGGUUUAGUGCCGCAGCUAACGCAUUAAGCACUCCGCCUGGGGAGUACGACCGCAAGGUUG